AUUGAACGCUGGCGGCAUGCUUUACACAUGCAAGUCGAACGGUAACAGGCCUUCGGGUGCUGACGAGUGGCGAACGGGUGAGUAAUGCAUCGGAACGUGCCCAAUCGUGGGGGAUAACGUAGCGAAAGUUACGCUAAUACCGCAUAAGCCCUGAGGGGGAAAGCAGGGGAUCGCAAGACCUUGCGCGAAUGGAGCGGCCGAUGUCAGAUUAGCUAGUUGGUGGGGUAAAGGCCUACCAAGGCGACGAUCUGUAGCGGGUCUGAGAGGAUGAUCCGCCACACUGGGACUGAGACACGGCCCAGACUCCUACGGGAGGCAGCAGUGGGGAAUUUAGGACAAUGGGCGCAAGCCUGAUCCAGCCAUGCCGCGUGCGGGACGAAGGCCUUCGGGUUGUAAACCGCUUUCGGUCCGGAACGGAAAUACGCCAAGGCGUAAUAAUCCUUGGUGGAUGACGGUACCGGAAGAAGAAGCACCGGCAAACUACGUAGCCAGCAG
rnacentral:rRNA from 1 species